rnacentral:rRNA from 1 species
UACAGGGGGUGCAAACGUUGCUCGGAAUCAUUGGGCGUAAAGCGCACGUAGGCGGUUCGUUAUGUCGGAUGUGAAAGCCCUUGGCUUAACCGAGGAAGUGCAUCCGAAACUGGCGAGCUAGAGUACUAAAGAGGAUCGCGGAAUUCCCGGUGUAGAGGUGAAAUUCGUAGAUAUCGGGAGGAACACCGGUGGCGAAGGCGGCGAUCUGGGUAGAUAUUGACGCUGAGGUGCGAAAGCGUGGGGAGCAAACAGG